rnacentral:rRNA from 1 species
GGCUCAGAUUGAACGCUGGCGGCAUGCCUUACACAUGCAAGUCGAACGGUAACGGGCCUUCGGGUGCCGACGAGUGGCGAACGGGUGAGUAAUGCAUCGGAACGUACCUUCAGUGGGGGAUAACGUAGCGAAAGUUACGCUAAUACCGCAUAUUCUGUGAGCAGGAAAGCAGGGGAUCGCAAGACCUUGCGCUGAUUGAGCGGCCGAUGUCAGAUUAGGUAGUUGGUGGGGUAAAGGCUUACCAAGCCCGCGAUCUGUAGCUGGUCUGAGAGGAUGAUCAGCCACACUGGGACUGAGACACGGCCCAGACUCCUACGGGAGGCAGCAGUGGGGAAUUUUGGACAAUGGGCGCAAGCCUGAUCCAGCCAUGCCGCGUGAGUGAAGAAGGCCUUCGGGUUGUAAAGCUCUUUCAGCCGGGAAGAAAACGCAUGGGUUAAUACCCUGUGUGGAUGACGGUACCGGAAUAAGAAGCACCGGCUAACUACGUG